GGCCUCUGUCCCAUAAGGCUGUGGGGAAGGGUCCCUUUUCUCCUUAAGCAGGGUUAAAAAUCAAAAUCAGCCUUGAGGAUCAAUGUUGGGGCUGCCACAAGCUGGCAGUCUUGUUUUCCUGCCUUAGACAUCU